UAAAACUUUAGUCUCGUGCCCCGCCCCUUCGCUUUUGGAGGAAGGGUCUGGGGACACUCAAGGCUUUUUUGUUGCAUAGCGCUGGAAUGUCAGCGUCCCAAUCAGAUUGCUCCAGCCACGUGGUACCACCGCAAACUAGUUAAUAUCACAUGAUAUAAUUUUAAUAAAAUGGCCUCUAAAAGAUAAGUAGAAUUUGCAGGAGCUUCAUGAGUUGUUACAGGAUUUGAGGUUCAAAGAGAAGUAAAGGAGGUACAGAAAUAAGCAUCACAAAGUCUGUUAUUGAUGAUUAGGAUCGUUUCUUGUGCCUGCUGACAGGAUUUAGUGGCAAACAAAGUGUCAAUCACUACUGUGGCUCUGUACUGCAUUAUGUCCUCUGGAAAAUAAGUUCUGGAACAGAAAAACUCUUCCUUUGUCCUCUGGUCAAUGACUAAAGCUAGUGUGCUUACCUAUUGAUGAGCAAUGAGUUAAGAAAUGUGCUAUAGGGGUACAUACUUUUAUGGAAGAUGAAGAACUACUUCUACCUCAUCUACAAAUGAUGUCUCUAACAGCCAUGGCCUUUGUAGCAUUCUUAUUACUAUCAUUAUAUUAUUAUACAAUUUUAGUCAAUUUUGCAAUAUUAAACAUACUAUUUUGAUCUGAUAGCAAAAUGCAUUUAAUAAGUUAA